UACGUAGGUGGCAAGCGUUGUCCGGAUUUACUGGGCGUAAAGAGCGCGCAGGCGGUCGUUCAAGUCGCGUGUGAAAGCCCCCGGCUCAACUGGGGAGGGUCACGCGAUACUGAUCGACUCGAAGGCAGGAGAGGGAAGUGGAAUUCCCGGUGUAGUGGUGAAAUGCGUAGAUAUCGGGAGGAACACCAGUGGCGAAGGCGGCCCACUGGGCCGGUACUGACGCUGAGGCACGAAGGCGUGGGGAGCGAACGGG
rnacentral:rRNA from 1 species